CCGGGCCUUAAAAGUGCAUUCUUCUCAUCCUAAUUGACAAUUUAUUUAUGAUAUGAUUAUUUUACGACCGAAAACCUAUAGCCACCUUGGCCGGUUGAAAUAUGUUUUACAUACAUUAAAAGCGUAGGUAUGCUCGAUAUGUAUAUUGUGAUGUUACAAUCGACCACUGUUGCAACACAAGAACUGUGACAAUGACGU